rnacentral:lncRNA from 1 species
AUCCCUCAUGUUUAGGAUUUUGGUAUGUUAAGUUAAAUUCAUGUAAUGAUAUGAACUUAUGGUAAUCGUUGGUUUGGUGACUGCAUAGACUUCCCCACUUGUGAAUUUAUGUUGUGGUUAUUAUUUUGAUGAGUUGAGUUCAGAUUGUAUGAAUUAUCGAGUGAUGUGUGGUAUGUUUAUGAACUGCACAGGGUUAUAAAUUUGUAGACUAUAGAGGUGAAAUUUUAAUCUGAAUGUUUUCUUAGUGACC